UCGGGUGUGGUGUACGGAACACCGCGUGCCGUCAUGUUGUUGAAGUGUCGAAAUGAUGCUAACGCGCAGUCCGGGGUUCGACUCCCCGCACCCGAA